UGAACGCUGGCGGCGGCUUAACACAAUGCAAGUCGAGCGGAGUGAAUCGAGAGCUUGUUUGAUUGACUUAGCGGCGGACGGGUGAGUAACGUGUGGGCAACCUGCCUCAUACAGGGGAAUAAUCACCGGAAACGGUGACUAAUACCGCAUGUGGCGUAUUGAAGGCAUCUUCGAUACGAGAAAGGAGGAAUCCGGUAUGAGAUGGGCCCGCAUCUGAUUAGCUAGUUGGUGAGAUAACAGCCCACCAAGGCGACGAUCAGUAGCCGACCUGAGAGGGUGACCGGCCACAGUUGGGACUGAGACAACGGACCCAAACUCCGUACGGGAGGCAGCAGGUAGGGGAAUAUUGCACAUGGGGGAACCCUGAUGCAGCAACGCCGCGUGAAGGAAGACGGUUUUCGGAUUGUAAACUUCUAUCAAUAGGGAAGAAAGAGAUGACGGUACCUAAAUAAGAAGCCCCGGCUAACUACGUGCCAGCAGCCGCGGUAA
rnacentral:rRNA from 1 species